AUAUAUAUCUCUAGUUGUACCCUGCGCGCGUUUGCUACGCUUUUUUAUUUAUAUUUUUUUGGUUGUACCAACUCCGAAACCUUUAUGGGCUCAUGCGCAACACUUUGCUGAAGAUCAUGACAUGAUCAAAUGCAUAGCUUACGAUUCUAUAAAGGACAU